AUUGAACGCUGGCGGCAUGCUUUACACAUGCAAGUCGAACGGUAACAGGCCGCAAGGUGCUGACGAGUGGCGAACGGGUGAGUAAUGCAUCGGAACGUGCCCAGUCGUGGGGGAUAACGCAGCGAAAGCUGUGCUAAUACCGCAUACGAUCUAUGGAUGAAAGCGGGGGACCGUAAGGCCUCGCGCGAUUGGAGCGGCCGAUGUCAGAUUAGGUAGUUGGUGGGGUAAAGGCCUACCAAGCCAACGAUCUGUAGCUGGUCUGAGAGGACGACCAGCCACACUGGGACUGAGACACGGCCCAGACUCCUACGGGAGGCAGCAGUGGGGAAUUUUGGACAAUGGGCGCAAGCCUGAUCCAGCAAUGCCGCGUGCAGGAAGAAGGCCUUCGGGUUGUAAACUGCUUUUGUACGGAACGAAACGGUCUGGGUUAAUACCCUGGACUAAUGACGGUACCGUAAGAAUAAGCACCGGCUAACUACGUGCCAGCAGCCGCCGUAAUAC
rnacentral:rRNA from 1 species